rnacentral:rRNA from 1 species
UACGUAGGGGGCUAGCGUUGUCCGGAAUCAUUGGGCGUAAAGAGCGUGUAGGCGGUCCGGUAAGUCCGCUGUGAAAGUCCGGGGCUCAACCCCGGGAGGCGGGCGGAUACUGUCGGGCUAGAGUCCGGAAGAGGCGAGUGGAAUUCCUGGUGUAGCGGUGAAAUGCGCAGAUAUCAGGAGGAACACCAAUGGCGAAGGCAGCUCGCUGGGACGGUACUGACGCUGAGGCGCGAAAGCGUGGGGAGCAAACAGG